UAUCUCUGUAGAGUCUGCAUAUCAAUAAGCGGAGGAAAAGAAACUAACAAGGAUUCCCCUAGUAACGGCGAGUGAAGCGGGAAGAGCUCAAAUUUGAAAUCUUCAAGGUUUGACCUUGACGAAUUGUAGUUUAAAGAAGUGUUUUCGGUUAGAGGAGUAGUAAAAGUUCCUUGGAAUAGGACAUCAUAGAGGGUGAGUAUCCCGUAUUUGACUAUUCUUUCUAGCUUUGUGAUACACUUUCAAAGAGUCGGAUUGUUUGGGAAUGCAGUCCAAAAUGGGUGGUAAAUUUCAUCUAAAGCUAAAUAUUGGCGAGAGACCGAUAGCGAACAAGUACCGUGAGGGAAAGAUGAAAAGAACUUUGAAAAGAGAGUUAAACAGUACGUGAAAUUGUCAAAAGGGAAGCGUUUGACACCAGUGUUGUUUGUCCGAAAAUCAAUUAAAAAUUGAUUCAUGCCAGGUUGUAUUGACCUUAUCAGCUUGCAAUUUGGUUUUGGGUCUCUUUUUGAUGCACUUUUCGGUUAACAAGUCAACAUCAAUUUCCUUUGCUGUAAAAAGGUAAGAGGAAGGUGGCUUCAAUUUCGGUUGAAGUGUUUAUAGCCUUUUAUCUCUGCAGUCGGGGAGAUUGAGGUCUGCAGCGUAGAUCCUUCGGGGCUAGAUACAUUUAUGCUAAGUUAUAGCUUUUCAUAGACAACUUGUUGACUAUGUUUAGUCAUGUAGCUUACUCGUAAGUGCUAUUUUACCUACGCUUAGGAUGUUGAGCGCAUGUCUCUCUCU
rnacentral:rRNA from 1 species